UACAGAGGGGGCAAGCGUUGUUCGGAAUUACUGGGCGUAAAGGGCGCGUAGGCGGCCCGCUAAGUCGAACGUGAAAUCCCCGGGCUCAACCCGGGAACUGCGUCCGAUACUGGUGGGCUUGAAUCCGGGAGAGGGAUGCGGAAUUCCAGGUGUAGCGGUGAAAUGCGUAGAUAUCUGGAGGAACACCGGUGGCGAAGGCGACGUCCUGGACCGGCAUUGACGCUGAGGCGCGAAAGCCAGGGGAGCAAACGGG
rnacentral:rRNA from 1 species